CAGUCGCCGCGGGAAUACGUAGGGUGCGAGCGUUAAUCGGAAUUACUGGGCGUAAAGCGUGCGCAGGCGGUUUGUUAAGACAGAUGUGAAAUCCCCGGGCUUAACCUGGGAACUGCAUUUGUGACUGGCCGGCUAGAGUAUGGCAGAGGGAGGUGGAAUUCCACGUGUAGCAGUGAAGUGCGUAGAUAUGUGGAGGAACACCGAUGGCGAAGGCAGCCUCCUGGGCCAAUACUGACGCUCAUGCACGAAAGCGUGGGGAGCAAACAGGAUUAGAUACCCCAGUAGUCCCUGUCUCUUAUAC
rnacentral:rRNA from 1 species